UACAGGGGGUGCAAACGUUGCUCGGAAUCAUUGGGCGUAAAGCGCGCGUAGGCGGCCCGGUAAGUCCGCUGUGAAAGUCAAAGGCUCAACCUUUGAAUGUCAGCGGAUACUGCCGGGCUAGAGUCCGGAAGAGGCGAGUGGAACUCCUGGUGUAGCGGUGGAAUGCGCAGAUAUCGGGAGGAACACCAGUGGCGAAGGCGGCGAUCUGGGAAGAUACUGACGCUGAGGUGCGAAAGCGUGGGGAGCAAACAGG
rnacentral:rRNA from 1 species